AUAUCAAUAAGCGGAGGAAAAGAAACUAACAAGGAUUCCCCUAGUAACUGCGAGUGAAGCGGGAAAAGCUCAAAUUUAAAAUCUGGCGGUCUUCGAUCGUCCGAGUUGUAGUCUGGAGAAGCGUCUUCCGCGCUGGACCGUGUACAAGUCUCUUGGAACAGAGCGUCGUAGAGGGUGAGAAUCCCGUCUUUGACACGGACUGCCAGUGCUUUGUGAUGCGCUCUCAAAGAGUCGAGUUGUUUGGGAAUGCAGCUCAAAAUGGGUGGUAAAUUCCAUCUAAAGCUAAAUAUUGGCGAGAGACCGAUAGCGAACAAGUACCGUGAGGGAAAGAUGAAAAGCACUUUGGAAAGAGAGUUAAACAGUACGUGAAAUUGCUGAAAGGGAAACGAUUGAAGUCAGUCGCGUCGUCUAGAACUCAACCUGGCCUCGGCUCGGUGCAUUUUCUAGUUGACGGGCCAGCAUCAGUUUUGACCGUUGGAAAAAGGUCCUUGGAAUGUGGCACCUUCGGGUGUGUUAUAGCCUUGGGUCGUAUACGACGGUUGGGACUGAGGACCGCAGCACGCCUUUAUGGCCGGGGUUCGCCCACGUACGUGCUUAGGAUGCUGGCGUAAUGGCUUUAAACGACCCGUCUUGAAACACGGACCAAGGAGUCUAACAUGCCUGCGAGUGUUUGGGUGGUAAACCCGAGCGCGUAACGAAAGUGAAAGUUGGGAUCCCUGUCGUGGGGAGCACCGACGCCCACACCAGACCUUCUGUGACGGAUGUGCGGUUGAGCAUGUAUGUUGGGACCCGAAAGAUGGUGAACUAUGCCUGAAUAGGGUGAAGCCAGAGGAAACUCUGGUGGAGGCUCGUAGCGAUUUCUGACGUGCAAAUCGAUCGUCAAAUUUGGGUAUAGGGGCGAAAGACUAAUCGAACCAUCUAGUAGCUGG
rnacentral:rRNA from 1 species